AUGCGGAGGAUCCGAGCGUUAUCCGGAUUUAUUGGGUUUAAAGGGAGCGUAGGUGGAUUGUUAAGUCAGUUGUGAAAGUUUGCGGCUCAACCGUAAAAUUGCAGUUGAAACUGGCAGUCUUGAGUACAGUAGAGGUGGGCGGAAUUCGUGGUGUAGCGGUGAAAUGCUUAGAUAUCACGAAGAACUCCGAUUGCGAAGGCAGCUCACUAGACUGUUACUGACACUGAUGCUCGAAAGUGUGGGUAUCAAACAGGAUUAGAUACCCUGGUAGUCCACACAGUAAACGAUGAAUACUCGCUGUUUGCGAUAUACAGUAAGCGGCCAAGCGAAAGCAUUAAGUAUUCCACCUGGGGAGUACGCCGGCAACGGUGAAACUCAAAGGAAUUGACGGGG
rnacentral:rRNA from 1 species